GAUGAUUCAUCCCUUGCAGAGUUCUUUGCUUCCUGGUAUCUCUGAUCCCCAGCAGAUUGGAUACUCUCCGGUGAACUUGGCUUUCUCUCUUGAGAUGUAGUACCGGGUGGUUGAUUCCUGGACCUGGUUGUGUUAGAUAUGUCUGUUUGUCAGCAUACAUCAUACAUAAACCACGCAUAUACAUGCAUAAUUAUAACAUUCAGAUAUUCAUGUUGCAUUCUUUGCCAUAUAUCGUUGUUUGCUGUCUCCUGGUAUUUGGUGAUAUA
rnacentral:lncRNA from 1 species